rnacentral:tRNA from 1 species
GCUCCCGUCGUCUAGCCCGGUCAAUAACGCUGAACAAAGCUCAGCGGAUUUCGCCAUGCGAAAAAUGCCGAAAGGAUAGGGGAUUCUCGAUCCCUUGGCGCGAGUUCAAAACGGCAGCUUCUUUCUUUGCGAAAGAAAGACGCUCCCGGGCAUCUAGAAAGAAAGCGUACGCUUUCGCUGCGCUCAAGCGCACAAAGAUGUUCGGCGCCGAGAAAGUCUCGCCGGGAGCA